CAGCAGCCACGGUAAUACGUAGGGUGCGAGCGUUAAUCGGAAUUACUGGGCGUAAAGCGGGCGCAGACGGUUACUUAAGCAGGAUGUGAAAUCCCCGGGCUCAACAUGGGAACUGCGUUCUGAACUGGGUAACUAGAGUGUGUCAGAGGGAGGUAGAAUUCCACGUGUAGCAGUGAAAUGCGUAGAGAUGUGGAGGAAUACCGAUGGCGAAGGCAGCCCCCUGGGAUAACACUGACGUUCAUGCCCGAAAGCGUGGGUAGCAAACAGGAUUAGAUACCCCUGUAGUCCCUGUCUCUUAUAC
rnacentral:rRNA from 1 species